rnacentral:rRNA from 1 species
GAUGAACGCUGGCGGCGUGCCUAAUACAUGCAAGUCGAGCGAACAGACGAGGAGCUUGCUCCUCUGACGUUAGCGGCGGACGGGUGAGUAACACGUGGAUAACCUACCUAUAAGACUGGGAUAACUUCGGGAAGCCGGAGCUAAUACCGGAUAAUAUAUUGAACCGCAUGGUUCAAUAGUGAAAGACGGUUUUGCUGUCACUUAUAGAUGGAUCCGCACCGCAUUAGCUAGUUGGUAAGGUAACGGCUUACCAAGGCGACGAUGCGUAGCCGACCUGAGAGGGUGAUCGGCCACACUGGAACUGAGACACGGUCCAGACUCCUACGGGAGGCAGCAGUAGGGAAUCUUCCGCAAUGGGCGAAAGCCUGACGGAGCAACGCCGCGUGAGUGAUGAAGGUCUUCGGAUCGUAAAACUCUGUUAUUAGGGAAGAACAAAUGUGUAAGUAACUAUGCACGUCUUGACGGUACCUAAUCAGAAAGCCACGGCUAACUACGUG